rnacentral:rRNA from 1 species
AUGAACGCUAGCGACAGGCUUAACACAUGCAAGUCGAGGGGCAGCGGGGGUAGCAAUACCCGCCGGCGACCGGCGCACGGGUGAGUAACGCGUAUGCAACUUACCUAUCAGAGGGGGAUAACCCAGCGAAAGUCGGACUAAUACCGCAUGAAGCAGGGAUCCCGCAUGGGAAUAUUUGCUAAAGAUUCAUCGCUGAUAGAUAGGCAUGCGUUCCAUUAGGCAGUUGGCGGGGUAACGGCCCACCAAACCGACGAUGGAUAGGGGUUCUGAGAGGAAGGUCCCCCACAUUGGUACUGAGACACGGACCAAACUCCUACGGGAGGCAGCAGUGAGGAAUAUUGGUCAAUGGCCGAGAGGCUGAACCAGCCAAGUUGCGUGAGGGAUGAAGGUUCUAUGGAUCGUAAACCUCUUUUAUAAGGGAAUAAAGUGCGGGACGUGUCCCGUUUUGUAUGUACCUUAUGAAUAAGGAUCGGCUAACUCCGUGCCAGCAGCCGCGGUAAUACGGAGGAUCCGAGCGUUAUCCGGAUUUAUUGGGUUUAAAGGGUGCGUAGGCGGCCUUUUAAGUCAGCGGUGAAAGUCUGUGGCUCAACCAUAGAAUUGCCGUUGAAACUGGGGGGCUUGAGUAUGUUUGAGGCAGGCGGAAUGCGUGGUGUAGCGGUGAAAUGCAUAGAUAUCACGCAGAACCCCGAUUGCGAAGGCAGCCUGCCAAGCCAUGACUGACGCUGAUGCACGAAAGCGUGGGGAUCAAACAGGAUUAGAUACCCUGGUAGUCCACGCAGUAAACGAUGAUCACUAGCUGUUUGCGAUACACUGUAAGCGGCACAGCGAAAGCGUUAAGUGAUCCACCUGGGGAGUACGCCGGCAACGGUGAAACUCAAAGGAAUUGACGGGGGCCCGCACAAGCGGAGGAACAUGUGGUUUAAUUCGAUGAUACGCGAGGAACCUUACCCGGGUUUGAACGCAUUCGGACCGAGGUGGAAACACCUUUUCUAGCAAUAGCCGUUUGCGAGGUGCUGCAUGGUUGUCGUCAGCUCGUGCCGUGAGGUGUCGGCUUAAGUGCCAUAACGAGCGCAACCCUUGCCACUAGUUACUAACAGGUAAAGCUGAGGACUCUGGUGGGACUGCCAGCGUAAGCUGCGAGGAAGGCGGGGAUGACGUCAAAUCAGCACGGCCCUUACAUCCGGGGCGACACACGUGUUACAAUGGCGUGGACAAAGGGAAGCCACCUGGCGACAGGGAGCGAAUCCCCAAACCACGUCUCAGUUCGGAUCGGAGUCUGCAACCCGACUCCGUGAAGCUGGAUUCGCUAGUAAUCGCGCAUCAGCCAUGGCGCGGUGAAUACGUUCCCGGGCCUUGUACACACCGCCCGUCAAGCCAUGGGAGCCGGGGGUACCUGAAGUCCGUAACCGCGAGGAUCGGCCUAGGGUAAAACUGGUGACUGGGGCU